UCUCAGAGUCGUAGAUGUAACUGUAACUUCUUAGGGUAAAAUAUGGAUCAUUAUUCUUGUGACUGAUAAUCAAAUGCAUCUCAGGGAAAUUGAGCACGGCUUUCUUGCCGGAUGAAAUGAUCCAAGUUAAUUGGAAAAUCAGCCUGAGGUGCAAAACUUUGAUAGGCCAAAAUUGUGUAGUGUAUUAACUUAGGCAGAGGGCGUCUCGAGAAAACGAACUUCCUAAAUAUAACAGGACCUCCGUUUAUCGUUAAUGGAGAGCCGACCUUGAGGGACGACGUUUGGGCACAUUUGAGUUUGUCUUCACUGGAACAGAAGAUCUGAAGUCAACUCGUACAAUAAGACAGAUCAGAACCAUUCGAAACUUCAAUCACCGCUGAACAAAAGAGAAACCCCGAGCUCCCAGAACAGUUUUCAGAGAGAUUUCAGUCGUCGGAGCGAGACAGCCUGGCGUCACGGGUCGACCAGUAAGAUGAGGAUGAUACAAGUACUUCAAGUCCAUUUUUGAAGCAGCUGUGCCUUUCACACCCCUUCCAUCGGUACUUGUGAUGUCAGUGUGAAUGUAGUCAUAAGCUCUUUAGAGUAGAUCACUAAGUAAACACGAGAACUCACACGUGGUAAGCUGUGGUCUGGUAAUUGUCGAAGCAGGGCAAUUCAUGAGACAUUAACUUAUGUAUAUAAUCUAUUCCAUAUAGAUUUUUGAUACACGUGUUCCUUUUCUUUUUUCUUCUUCUUAUUUGCUUGCCACAUGAGCAGGAAAAAAAUUUAAGGGCAUUUUAGUUUCUCUUUAAAAGUCAUGUUUAUGGAAAUGUUGAAAUAGGUUUUAAGUAGCAUUAGUCAGUAGAAAAUUAUUGAUAUUUCCUGAGAAAUCGAAGCUGAGAUUCUCCCCAAAACUGUUUUGUAGCUCUCGUGCGAAAUUUCAGUAAAUACAGGGAAGUUGGAAAUUGUGUUAAUAAAACAUUAUUAACAUUUGUUUCCUAAUGUCUCCGAAUCACGUGCAAACGCCCCAUUAACAUAAUUUCUGGACACCCUGUAUGUAUUUCUAGCAUGAGUAGAAAGAAUUGCUAAAAGUUCAGAUAGAAAAUGACAUUAUUUUUUUUUUAUCAAACCAACUAAAAGUUAUAAAGUUUGUAGCAUCCCAAAAGUUCAUUUCAUUGCUUCACAUGGUUUGGGAUAAAUAGCUAUAGUCUAAAAGGUAGGGUGCACCGUAUCCUUAAUAAUUAUAAGUGAUUUACUAUA